rnacentral:snoRNA from 1 species
CUCCUGUAUUCGAAAGUGAUCGUGGGCUGCCUUUGCCCUGGUCAUUGAUAGUGCAGGGAGAGGAAUCAAUGAAAGCGCUUCCCCGUGUUUGAAGGGUCCACUCCUAUCCCUUCCAAACUCUGGAGCUUUCGUACAUGC